rnacentral:rRNA from 1 species
GAGGAUUGAUAAUGGACGCCGUAAGGUUUCGGCGCGGCUCUUCUGUUGGGCGACAUGGCUCCGAGGACAAUGUCCUGUGGGUUGUGUUUGUUCGAUCCUGGGGGUCGCUGCCAGAUGUCCAUUCGCGAUCCUGACGAAAUGCUUGCUAUCGACCCGUCUUGAAACACGGACCAAGGAGUCUAACAUAUAUGCGAGUAUUUGGGUCCAAACUCGAAUGCGUAAUGAAAGUAAAGUGCUGAGGUAGGAAGGGUGUAACAACCUGGCACUAUCGACCGAUCGUCACUUGUGAUUGAUUUGAGUGCGAGCAUAUCUGUUGGGACCCGAAAGAUGGUGAUCUAUGCCUGAACAGGGUGAAGCCAGGGGAAACUCUGGUGGAGGCUCGUAGCGAUACUGACGUGCAAAUCGUUCGUCUGAUUUGGGUAUAGGGGCGAAAGACUAAUCGAACCAUCUAGUAGCUGGUUCCCUCCGAAGUUUCCCUCAGGAUAGCUGGAACUUAUACGAGUCAGUUUUAUCAGGUAAAGCUAAUGAUUAGAGGUCCUAGAGUUGAAACAACUUUAACCUAUUCUCAAACUUUAAAUAGGUAAGAAACCCUGUGGUUGCUUAACUGAACCCGGGUCUCGAAUGAAGAGUUCUUAGUGGGCCAUUUUUGGUAAGCAGAACUGGCGAUGCGGGAUGAACCGGACGUGGAGUUACGGUGCCAAACUAUUCGCUCAUCUAGAUCCGACAAAAGGUGUUAGUUCAUCUAG